rnacentral:rRNA from 1 species
CAGUAAGCAUGAUCGAACUACUCCUUAAUGUCUUUCAAGACUACAUUCGUUUGAGUGUACUCCUUUGUUUGACCUCAGAUCAGGUAGGACUACGCGCUGAACUUAAGCAUAUCAAUAAGCGCAGGACAAGAAAAUAACCAUGAUUCCCCUAGUAACGGCGAGUGAAGCGGGAAAAGCUCAAAUUUGAAAUCUGGUAGAGUUUUAUUCUUUGCCCGAGUUGUAAUUUCAAGAAGCUGCUUUGAGUAAUGAACGUCGGUCUAAGUUCCUUGGAACAGGACGUCAGAGAGGGUGAGAACCCCGUCUUUGGCCGAUGUGCUUUGCCAUAUAAAGCGCUUUCUAAGAGUCGAGUUGUUUGGGAAUGCAGCUCUAAAUGGGUGGUGAAUUUCAUCUAAAGCUAAAUAUUGGCGAGAGACCGAUAGCGAACAAGUAGAGUGAUCGAAAGAUGAAAAGAACUUUGAAAAGAGAGUUAAAUAGUACGUGAAAUUGCUGAAGGGGAAGCAUUGGAAACCAGUCUUACCUUGGUGAGAUCAGCUGUUUACUUGUAGACAGUGCACUCUGAACCUAGGUAGGUCAGCAUCAGUUUUCGGGGACGGAAAAAGAAUAAGGGAAUGUGGCUUUUGGGCUUGCUCAGAAGUGUUAUAGCCCUUAUUGUAAUACGCCCACUGGGGACUGAGGUCUGCGACUUUGUCAAGGAUGCUGACAUAAUGGUUUUCAAUGGCCCGUCUUGAAACACGGACCAAGGAGUCUAGCAUCUAUGCGAGUGUUUGGGUGGCUAAACCCAUACGCGAAAUGAAAGUGAAUGCAGGUGGGAACUUUUUGUGCACCACCGGCCGAUCCGGAAGUUUGUCAAUGGAAGGAUUUGAGCAAGAGCAUAGCUGUUGGGACCCGAAAGAUGGUGAACUAUGCCUGAAUAGGGCGAAGCCAGAGGAAACUCUGGUGGAGGCUCGUAGCGGUUCUGACGCGCAAAUCGAUCGUCAAAUUUGGGUAUAGGGGCGAAAGACUAA